ensembl:lncRNA
ACUUUGUUAUUGUUAAGUAGAGUGCAGACUGAAACUCCUAAUUCCUUACUAUGUGUUUAAUGUGCCAGUUAAGUAGUGGUAAUUGGCAGCAGCUGUGCCCUGGAACCAAUGGUUUCUUACUGGAGGAGGAAGCCCUAAUGUGCUAAAUGGGGCAGGAGAGCUUUCGGGAGGGAGGGUUUAUAAGGCAGGAGAUGGGGAAGGGGCAGUAACCCCAAAGGAGCCGGAGGGGCUGCGGGUGGGAGACGGCAGCGGAGAAGGCGGCAGCAGGAUUCUCCAAUCAAGGGCGAUGGCUGCUGCUCCUCGUGGCCUCCCUGUGCUGCUUUUUGCUGGGCACACGGAGCUGCUCCGACCAGAGGAGAGCAGAGGAGGGAAGGAAGAGCUUUGCCAUGCACCGGCAGCAGCAGGCAUGGGUGUGCAGCACUGCAGAAACCUCAUCCCAAGCAGCACUCCGCUGGCAUCGUUAGGAGCAGGGCACUGCCAUCAGCACUGCUGCCUCCAGCUGCUGAGCUCUGCUCCUCAGGAAAACCAGGUGGAGGAAAGAAAUUGCAGCCCCAAAGGGGAGGAGGAUGUUCAGCAGCUCUCCCUGCAGCUCUCUGUGCAUGCUCUCCGUGCAGGUUGUCCAUGCAGGCUCUGCAUGCAUGCUCUCUGUGCAGGCUCUCUGUGCAUGCUGUCCAUGCAGUCUGCCCAUGCAGCACACUCUCCUGCCUCCCCUCCAGGCCACUGUGGUUCACAGCAGCAGAGGAGCCUUGGUAGCCUUGGGAGAAAUUCUUGACAUGCAAACAGUUUCAGACUGCACACAGCCCAACAUUGCUGCAGUGAAUCUGGUCCAGGGGUACUUGUGGUGCAAAAGCCUUAAUGAGAAAAUACUCUUUGCCUCCCCCAUUGCCUGUGGGACAGCUGGCAUGGUGCAGGGCUGGGAAGGAGCAUGGCUGCAAGGAGGCUCCUCCUUUGGGCGGGAGAGUCUUUCUUCCAUUGGGAAACCAUAAAGAAAAGCAUUGCACAAUCUCAGCCUAAUUAGCAACUGCAAUUUUUCUUUUAUUUUUUUUUUUUUUUUGUUUGGUUUGUUCUGAGUUCUGCAAACAAAACUCCCAUCCGAUCUGUGCACGGAGGAAGCACUGCUUCACUCGGAGAGAUCUGCCACAGAGGCACCAAAAACCUCUCUGGAGGAGAGGUAGGAAAACAAUUUGGUCAGCCCCAAAAUGUGUUCGGUGCUGUGGGAGCUGCCCUGUGUGUGCAGACCUCACACCUCAGCACAGACUCGACAGAUCUCUGCUGGGUGCUACAAAAAGCAUUUCCUGGUGGCAACAAAGGAAACCUUGGUGGUUAGACUGAGACAGAAAUGAUGGAUGUGCCAAACAACUGCUCCUUGACCAACGCAACUCACAGACAAAUCAAGACAAUUUAAAUGCAGUUAAAGCCAUUAAUGACAACAGCUGCAAAAGCCAAUGGGAGAAGGGCUGAGGAAACGAGCAGUCAUUUGUACACAAGUGUGAGGUGCUUUGAGAGAGGGUCUAUUAAAAAGUUGCGCAAAGCACAAGGCCCAGAGCAUGCAGCUAAGAAGCCAUGAGGAAUAAUGCUCAGAAGCCAUUGGCUGAAAAUGGACUCUUAACAGCAACAAAAAAUCAGAUAUGAUCCAACGUGUCUGCCGUAGCUGUUUCAGCUUGGUGGAAGGCUGAAGAGGGGGAUUCAAGCCAUGUGCUGGAAGAUGCAGCAGGAGCCAAAGCCAUGAUGGUCUGGAUGGUGUAAUGUUGGAGAGUUGUCUUAAUCUGAGCGAAAACAAGCUUUGCGGGACUGCGAAGUACAUAAAUAUUUAAUUUUAACCUGGAAUAAUUUUCUAAAGUGAAAAGACAGCUUUUCUGCCCAAAGAAACCAACAUUUCAUCCUGGCACGAUGCUCCUGCGAACACAGGCAUUUUGCUGAAAAACAGGUAAAUUGCUGCUGGGAUGGAAUUCACAGGGAUCCUUGCAAAAACAACAGAAAGCAGACAAAACCAAAACAACGACCCAGAAGCUGAAGAAAACGGGAAUUUCUCCACUAAUAAAGUGGUGUUCUUCCUGCCUGCCCCAGCCCUGCAGCCUCCCACGUGCCUCAAUUCACACUGUGCUUUGGGACAGUGCCGGAGGGGGGACAUUUGGUGACAGUGUGCGCGGGGCCAAGAGUGUCCCUUGUCCAUGUGCUCACUUCUUCCCUGGAGGUUGCAAUCGUCCCCACGCAGCGGCACCCAACCCCAGGGGCCCUUGCUCAGCACUGCCCUACUGCACCCAUCCCAUCCAUCCAUCUGGCCAUCCCAUCUGCCUAACCCAGUUCAUCCAGAGCCCCCAUCCCAUGGCUCGGGCUGUUCCGUUUCAUGGCAGCCCGAUGUCCUUGCCCUGAUAGCUAUGAGAGGAAGAGGAUUGGGAGCCUUGCAGUGACCAAAAAAGUCUUGAAAACACUUUCAUGCUAAAAAUCCCAUAUUUGACAGAAGCGUGAGAUACCUUGAGGCCUUCUAUUGAUUACCUGGGAGCAGAAGUGCACCGGCGCUUUGAGCUGUCACAGUUCCAGGCAUUUCUGAAAACGAUAGAAGACUGGAACAAAAACACAACUAGGGCUCCUGACACAGUGUGUUAAGCAAUAAAACAUGUUUAAUUGUGUUGUCUUAAGGCUAUAACCACUCGCUGGCUGAAGGUCAUUCACUACCCAUACUGCCAGUGGAAAGAGGUGCUCUGACAGGUGGGAUCCAGAUAGGAAACAGAUACCUAUGAGAUUACAGUGUGAAUGACACCGAGAUGCCAGUGGUGGUGUAGUUAAAGGAGGCAGGAUGAGCAGCAGGCAGGACACUGCCUGACUGGCGGAUCUAUAAAGGGGAUGUUAUACACACAGAGGGCAAAAUGGGAUUCAACCAGGUAUCCUCUGGGGCCAUCUCACCACUGCAUGGCAUCACUGCAUUGCUCUGUGUUGCCUCCUGCCCCAGCAGUGCAGGACCUGGGUGCACCAAGUACAGAGCACCCACUGUCCCCAAGCCAUGGGGCCAUGCAGGCUCUGCUAGGAGCCCAUCCCUGUGCAGUGAUCCUCCUGCAGCAACACCGUGCCCCAGGGAUCCUGUAGGCAGGCGUUCAAGGGCGAGUGCCUGGGAGUGGUCCACUUUAAUGGGUCAUUAACCUCCUUAAUGAAGUGGCCCAAGCCACCAUUUUGUCUUCAUGACUCUGGACUCCCUUCCUUUGGAUCGCAGUAGAGCUGUCCAGAAAAGGCAGACCUGCAAAAAGAAGGCAAUCAGAUAGAAGGGAAAAAAGGUGAACGUGAGGGAAAGGCUGGAAAUUGGUCCCCAGUCUGCUGCUUGGGGCAGAGGACAACUUGGAGUGGCCCAUGGACCUGGUGAGAGGCAGCAGCUUGACACUCGCCAGGGUUGCAUCCUUGUCUGAAGAUGGAGGAAUCUGUCUUGUGAGACGUGGAGUUUUAGAAACCAAACUGAAGAAUGGGGGCAGGACAUGGACAUGUGAAGAACAUGUGAAGGAGUGGUUUGUGGUUGGUAUUGCUUUCUACCUGGUUCAUACCAGGUGGUGGGGACCAGUGAGCUGCAGGAGGGAGAGAGCAUGCAGCCAUCCUGGAGCAUGAACUCAACCCUUCUUCAGCACAAGGUGUGUCUGGAAGCAUGAACCAGGAAUGCAUAGGAUUCCCUAUGCAAAGAAAACAUGGAACACACCAUAUGUGAGUGCCUGUUCUGAUCCGAAGGGAUUCCACUGUCCAUGGUGAGAGACAUCACGGCCUUAAAGUGGGAAUUUGGGGAGAAAUUCCAGAUGUUCCUUGCCUAGAUACUGUCUGGUCCACUGGAUGGCAUGUGCAGAUCUACCUUUCUGAGCUAACUUCUGCAUUCCGAGGCUCCUGCAUAUGGAAAAGGUUUGAGGUGUCUCAUGUUUAAUGAGAAACAGAAAAGAUUAGCUUGUAGCAAGGUAUUUAAUUAUUGGGAUAUUUCUGCUCCGGCUGCAUCCUUUGCCUCUCCAUGCGGGAAGUGCCAAAUUACAUGUCACCUCGGAGGGCAUAUUUUCUGUAGUUUUCAGAGCUCCUACAAUGGCAGCCUCAUGAAUAUUUACUGAACUGCUCAGAUAUGCAGCAGUGGGAACAAAUAAAAAAAAAGCUCGUAUUUGCAUCUCCCACAGACACUAACAAACCGUGUGGCUCUGGUAGGGAGAAGAUGGGAGAUUGCUGUUGCCUUUCCAGAGGGAUAGAGAAAACAGCUUCUCGUAUAAUGAGAUUGACUUUUAAAUUGAAAGUGUUACUGGUUGUGCCGCACUUCAUACUUCCAUGCUGUGCACUUACUCCCUAGGCUCUAACAUUAAGACAUCUUAUGUACAAGCUGGGAGGAUUCAAUUAGAGUUUCUGUUAUUAAUCAAUCAAUUAAGCCACGAUCAUUGGUAGAUACAUUUAGAUACUCCUAAAGAGGGGAGGUGGGGGCAUUACAAGUCCUUGGGCCACCAGCUUCUCCGGCUGGAGGUUGGUGGCUGCUGCCAGCUGCUGGAGCCACGUGCCCCAAGGCUGCAGGGGGAUGCUGGCACUGGGCUCUGCACCUGCCAGUGCCUGAUCCUAAUGGCCACCGAUUCAGCAAGAAGCCUGACCUGCCUCUUGUGCUCCCCAACCGACAUGAGGCAGUGAGAUGGGACAGAUUCAGAGCCUCCUGGGUUUUCCUGAGCGUUUCCUCAUCCAUCCAAAGGAAGUUCCUUGGUGUGAACGGGGGCUGAAGGCAGCGCUGCCAGGAACUGCAUAGGGGAAAGUGAGAGAUGAAAAAUCCUUGUGCACAACUUUAGGUACGGCACAGGCUGUGCCUUUAUCAGGGGGCCUGUGGGGGUCUCAUCCAAAUGGGAGCCGCAGCCUCCAGGGGAGGACGUGGAGAGCUCAGUGAUGCUGAGCUGAAGUUUGAACACUUGAAGAGAAGUGGAUGUGUGAGCGCUGUCUAUAGGUGAGGAUAAAAAAAAAAGGAAAGAAAAGGGAGGAUUAAAUGGCAAUGUUACCUUUACUCUUGUCAAAUACCUAAGUAGAAACAUUGGUUAAUGCCCUUAAAAAAGGCCCAUUACCACAGGGCACAGAGUCAAAGAGCCUGGCUGCCCUAAUACUCAGUUAUCUCGUUCCUGGAUAAUGGAAUGACCCCUCGCCUGCCCGAGCUGUACUACGAUAUAAUAGCAUGAGCCGUGUGAAUAAAGAGGUUAUUUUUGGAAUCCAAUUGAAACAGUGCUGGAGCUUGUGUGACAGGGGAAGGAUUGAACAAGAUGCAAUGCUCUACGGGAAGGGGGAAAAAAUUGAAUUUUGGGGAAAGUGCUGCCUGCAGUGAACUGGGCAGGGGCAGCCAGCAGGGAUCAGGGCUGGGACAGUGCCUGCCCCACAGCUGCAGCCUCAGUGCUCGGCCUUUGCACACGCACAAAGUUAAGAGACACAGUGCGAUGCUAAUUCUGGGUGCGCAGCAUCCAAUACGUAGGACUGCAAUUCAUCAAAGAGGGAGAGACAAGGAGCACGAGAGAUUCAGCGUGAACGUAGAGAUGAAAAUGAAUAUUAAUUUACAAAGCAGCACAAAGACAAUGGGAUUCAAGGAGAUUGAUAUCACAAACUCCCCUUAUUCAAUCAGAUUACGGUCCCAUCUUCCCCAAACACCAAUUGCUAAUCUAGAUUCGAAAGACAAAUCCUCCUGCAGAAGGGCUUUGCCUUUAUCUUGUUCGUCUGGUGCUUCUGCUUAAGACGUUACUCCAGUUUUGGGGGGGAGCUGGGGAGGAAGAAACCUUAUGCAGCGUUUAACCGCAUCGCUGCUGAAGCACCGGGAGGAGAGAGCUCUGACUGCGAGCCCCUCCUGCAGCCUGCCCAUCAAAGGCGAGGCACCAACGGGAUCCACGCGAGGCUCAGCAUCUCCCAGCAGCGCGCAUAGCCCUGCCGACGAUCACAUCGACCUCACUCCGGCAGCGGUAGCGAUCAAUAUAUUUUUUCCUCUCUUAUUGUUUCUUACAAGCACUUAGAUACGUUUGUCCUAUAAAAAUGGUAAGCUGUCCAGGGCUUCAUUUGCGUUCGGGGACCUGGGGGUCCCCAGCAGUUUGAGCCCGUGAUUAUUAGCACCGCCGCCGGUAUCAGCGCUGUCACCGUGCCGUGACACCACAUCUGGCAACCUUGGUCAGGCAGCAGCUCGUUUUCUCAUGUCACUGCUUCUUCCACAUCCCGUUAAUCACGGAAGAGUGUCUCUCAGCUUGCCAUGUGCAAGGGCAGGGCUGGCAAAGAAUCCCUCGGUGGCAGCUUUUGUGAUAGCCAGUGCCACCCCGCGCUGUGACAUCACCCCAUGCUAUGACGUCAUACCAUGCUGUGACAUCACCCCAAGCUGUGACACUGCCCUGAGCGUUCUGCAGGCACGUGGCUCGUCUGCUGCAUGCCGACUAACACAUGCCUAAUUGAAAGAUGAGCAAAACUUGAAAAGAGAUGGUAAUUACCAGUGGGGUUUAAAUGCAGUUUGUGUUUUACUACUUAAAAGCAAUUUAAUAAAAAAAGAAAAAAAAGCAAAAUUGCAUUAAUUUGUGUUACGAUCCGUUAUUAAAACCACUUUGUGGUUAAACUCACAAGUGGAGAUGAUGAUCCCGAUAAGGUAAGCACAAGGCAGGAGCUGAGAGCUCUCAGAAUCAGGACCCGCCAGCGCCUUCUGCUUCUCUAAGACACCAGAAAAUACGGGUUGUUGCUGCUUAACUUCCAGGUUGCAAAUGGGAUGUGAUAAAGAAGUGAAAUUUUUAAGAUGAUAAUUUAUCUAUGCCUGUCUAGUAAUUAUGUAUUUUAUUUGUGUAGCACGUGCGGUACAAUAAAUGUUACAGAUUCAAAGCGGUGUUAUUUGUACUUUACAUGUCAAGUGUUUCUGACAUAUACAUGCAUUUCAAGUGGAAUUAUUUUUUUUUUCUAUUCGAUGCAAAUGGCUCUGUAUUCCACUGUGGUUGAGUAAACUGUGUAUUCUCUCCCUGUCAAUGAUCUCCUUGGAAAUAGAUGUCAGCCAAUCAGUCAGUUAAAAAAAAAACAAACCACCACACGCCCAACAAAAACCCAGCGACCAAACAAACCAGCCUCUCCAAUUUACUGCCGCUCCGCUCCGUGCAGAGACAAAGGAACAGAGCCCCAUGGCAGCAGGCAGCUGAUGCACAUUAUGAGGCUGGAAUGGGACAGCCCAGAGGGCUCUGCUCAGGUUUGCUCUGAUUCCGUCCACCUCUUCUACCCGUGGGGCUCCUCCUGCAUGAGGCUUUGGAGUGAAGGAGAGAAGAAAAGGAACUUUUUGGUCAUUAAAGCUUGAGACUUUGGGAGGCAUCAAGCUGUUGGUUCAUCGCGGCGCAGUCGGACUCGAGGACCUCUGAGGGUCCCUAUUGACUCAAACCAUCCUGUGGUUGUAUGACAGCAGAUGCUUUCUGCAGCGAUGGAGAUGACAAAAAGAAUACCAACCUGAUUGCACGUCAAACUGAAUUUUGGGAUCAAAAUAAAAAAGUGUCAGCCCUCCUUCCCUCCCAGCCCAGAACCAAGAGCCAUUCACCCACAUAUGGCAGCAGUGCUGUGGCAUGGGCAAGCAGCAUCAGCCCUGUGCUGCAGGGCCGGGAGCGGUGGGCACCUGUGGGCAGCACACAAAGACCUCCUUCAUCAGCCAGGGCUCCCCAUGCCCACCCUACAAUGUCCCCUUCCUUCCCCACCAACCCGCCAGCAUUAGGGGCUGCAAUUAAAAUGCGCAGCUCAUUCCGCCAUGAAAACACAAGGAAAGGGCACAGGCAAAAAAACAUGAAUACCCAAACGAUCCGACUGCACCAAGGUUUAAAUAGCUUGCUCACUGCGAUCCCCCUUUGAAGCUGAUCAGAAUCACGUCCUUUGCUAUUAAGGUGAUUUUUAUCAGCUUUCGCUGCGCUUCCCUUUUCAAGCGCUCAUUUGAGCCGGAGCCGGGAAGGAGCGCUCACACUCCACGCUUUGCUUUCUAUUGUUGUUCUUAUUUUACUACACAGGGGAGAAGUAAUCUUUUUUUUCUCCCCUUGGCCUAGAGCUAUUGUACAUAUGCAAAUGUGGCAAUGGCAGCCAGCUAUUUAUAGCUCGAGUUCUUGCUACACUUAUCACAACCACUGCAGACUUUUAAAAGCAGAACCCACACACACAGUAUUUUUUCCCCAGGAUAUAAAUUUCCCAUCCCAAUGCAGCCUGGCCCGUCGCAUGCAACAUUGAUUGUCUGUUAUAUUACAUUUAUUAAGGAGUGAUAACUUGUAAUAAUUGGAUGUUAAAUUAAAGAACUCUUUCCUAGUUAU